rnacentral:rRNA from 1 species
AUUGAACGCUGGCGGCAUGCCUUACACAUGCAAGUCGAACGAGAUCCAUGGGAGCUUGCUCCCGGAAGAUCUAGUGGCGAACGGGUGAGUAACACGUGAGAAACCUGCCCUGGAGUGGGGAAUAACUCGGGGAAACUCGAGCUAAUACCGCAUACCCUCGGAUGGUCGCAUGGCCGACCGAGGAAAGAUUUAUCGCUCUAGGAGGGUCUCGCGGCCUAUCAGCUAGUUGGUGGGGUAACGGCCUACCAAGGCAACGACGGGUAGCUGGUUUGAGAGAACGAUCAGCCACACUGGGACUGAGACACGGCCCAGACUCCUACGGGAGGCAGCAGUGGGGAAUCUUGCGCAAUGGGCGAAAGCCUGACGCAGCAACGCCGCGUGCGGGAUGACGGCCUUCGUGGUUGUAAACCGCUUUCAGCAGGGACGAAAAUGACGGUACCUGCAGAAGAAGACCCCGGCUAACUACGUGCCAGCAGCCGCGGUAA